GUUCUUUCUUUUAUGACUGGUGCCGGUUUAAAAGCCGGAGAAUAGGGAAGUACGUGAGAUUCGUACACUGUACCCGCAACUGUAGACGCGGUCAACUGUUGUUUUUUUGCAUGGCCUCAUGCCAGGAAAUAACAGGCGCUAUUGAUCACUGUGAUUUUUCCUCCCGGAAAAGCGCGGGAAGGUCAACAGCAUAAGUAUGCCGCAAAAGUCAGGAGACCUGCCAGUUAUUCAUUGCUUGU
rnacentral:ncRNA from 2 species